rnacentral:rRNA from 1 species
UGCACCAGGGUUGUCGCUGACCUUUUUUUUAAAAGGUCGUGCACACCCUAGUGUACUUACAAAUCCAUUACACCCCAUUGUGCAUUACCGCGUGGGCCCUUAUUUUUGGUUUGUUCCAAGGGGGUUCACGUUUUUAAACAUAGACACCUUUUUAAUGCAUGUAUAGAAUGUCUUUACUUUUUGCAAUCAUAUGCAAUUAAUACAACUUUCAACAACGGAUCUCUUGGCUCUCGCAUCGAUGAAGAACGCAGCGAAAUGCGAUACGUAAUGUGAAUUGCAGAAUUCAGUGAAUCAUCGAAUCUUUGAACGCAUCUUGCGCCCCUUGGCAUUCCGAGGGGCACACCCGUUUGAGUGUCGUGACAUUCUCAAAACCUUCUUGGUUUUAUUAACUGGGAAGGCUUUUGGACUUUGGGGGUCUUAUUGCUGGCAUCCUUUGAAGCCAGCUCCUCCUAAAUAGAUUAGUAGGGUCUGCUUUGUCAAUCCUUGACGUGAUAAGAUAUUUUCUACGUCUCGGAAUUUGGCACAGUCACUUUGGGUCCUGCUUCUAACUGUCUUGUAGAAGACAUUGUUACAAACCCUUGACCUCAAAUCGGGUGAGACUACCCGCUGAACUUAAGCAUAUCAAUAAGCGGAGGAAAAGAAACUAACAAGGAUUCCCCUAGUAACUGCGAGUGAAGCGGGAAAAGCUCAAAUUUAAAAUCUGAUGGCCUUUGGUCAUCCGAGUUGUAAUUUAGAGAAGCGUUUUCCGCGCUGGACCGUGUA